rnacentral:rRNA from 1 species
CAGCCGCCGCGGUAAUACGUAGGGUGCGAGCGUUAAUCGGAAUUACUGGGCGUAAAGCGUGCGCAGGCGGUUUUGUAAGACAGGCGUGAAAUCCCCGGGCUCAACCUGGGAAUGGCGCUUGUGACUGCAAAGCUAGAGUGCGGCAGAGGGGGAUGGAAUUCCGCGUGUAGCAGUGAAAUGCGUAGAUAUGCGGAGGAACACCGAUGGCGAAGGCAAUCCCCUGGGCCUGCACUGACGCUCAUGCACGAAAGCGUGGGGAGCAAACAGGAUUAGAUACCCGUGUAGUCCCUGUCUCUUAUAC